CCAUCUACCUUCUUGUCCCGGGAGACUGUGACCCUCUCUCCCUGGCGCCCUCGUGCUCUUAAAGCCGUCUCCUCCGAAGGGGAGGCACGGCUCACCUAUUUUCAUUUUAAAUGGCCAAAGACUUCUGGUCCAAGGCUUGUCAAACCCGGGGCCCUCUCAGGGAGCAGGGCCAGGUGGAGAACGACAAGGGCGCAGCAGACCUGUCACACGGCGCAGAGAAGUGAGGAUGCGCACUCACGGCUGGGAUUUCCUCAGACCCGGGCCGGCAGCAGAGUUCCGCGCCGGCAGGUCCAUCCGUCAGUUUCUCCAGGCGCCGCUGCAGGGGCUGGCUGUCCUGCUCCAGCAGGAGGCUCCAGAGGACCCCCGAUUCCGUGAGAGAUUCCAUCCCGGUCCUCGAACUCCGACCCCCCCCACCGUCCCCACAGGAUGAACCAGUCAGUCUCGCCGGGGCUGGACGCAGAGAGGUGGCCUCUGGCUCCUCGGCAGCGGGUCUGUGUGACCCUCGCUGGCCCCCCUGGUGCCCCUAGAGCCCGGUUCCCGGCGCAGAGCCUCACGGGUGGGAGGGUGCGGUCAGCAAGGUUCUCAGGCGGGCUGGCCAGAGUCUCCAGGGGCCGGGCUCUGCCUCAUCGCACUCGGCUCCCAGCGUGGCAGGUCUCCAGGCUGCGGGGGACCCAGAUGGGACGUGAGGGGGCUCCUCCUCCGGGUCAGCGUGGACAGCCGCUCCGAGGGGCCAGCUGCGGCCAGGACGCGGAGGACGGGGCAGGUGCACAGGGCCGCCAGAGUCCCGCCCCACCGUUACUCACACACAGUUGCCACGGAGAUGACUGACCCUCCAGGAAAGAGGUGAGGCAGGUGAGGAAGCACCUUUGUCCACCUGGAGCACCGGGGAAAAGUCUUCUGUGACUUGCCUUCAUCCAGGAUGCGAGAGCCCGCUGCGUCCAGUGGGGCCAUCUUUGGGGAGCAGAUUGCACCCCUCUGGCCCCUAACUCUCCCCUUGGCCCCCUGUUUCUGCUCAUCCUUCCACCUGUGUAUCCCCCAAGCUGGGGGCCUUGACUAAUAAAACUGGGGUAGUCAAAGGGG